rnacentral:rRNA from 1 species
UACAGAGGGUGCAAGCGUUAAUCGGAAUUACUGGGCGUAAAGCGUGCGUAGAUGGUUAUGUAAGUCGGAUGUGAAAGCCCAGGGCUCAACCUUGGAAUUGCAUUCGAGACUGCAUAGCUAGGAUGCGGAAGAGGGAAGCGGAAUUUCCGGUGUAGCGGUGAAAUGCGUAGAUAUCGGAAGGAACACCAGUGGCGAAAGCGGCUUCCUGGUCCAGCACCGACGUUCAGGCACGAAAGCGUGGGGAGCAAACAGG